AGUGGAAUUACUGGAUCAUAUGGUAUCUCUGUUUAAUUUUUUGAAGAACUACCAAACUAUUUUCCAAAGUGGCUGUCCAUUUUACAUUUCCACAAGCAAU
rnacentral:pre_miRNA from 3 species